AAGGUAGCUUGCUACCUGACCUAGCGGCGGACGGGUGAGUAAUGCUUAGGAAUCUGCCUAUUAGUGGGGGACAACAUCUCGAAAGGGAUGCUAAUACCGCAUACGUCCUACGGGAGAAAGCAGGGGACCUUCGGGCCUUGCGCUAAUAGAUGAGCCUAAGUCGGAUUAGCUAGUUGGUGGGGUAAAGGCCUACCAAGGCGACGAUCUGUAGCGGGUCUGAGAGGAUGAUCCGCCACACUGGGACUGAGACACGGCCCAGACUCCUACGGGAGGCAGCAGUGGGGAAUAUUGGACAAUGGGGGGAACCCUGAUCCAGCCAUGCCGCGUGUGUGAAGAAGGCCUUUUGGUUGUAAAGCACUUUAAGCGAGGAGGAGGCUACCGAGAUUAAUACUCUUGGAUAGUGGACGUUACUCGCAGAAUAAGCACCGGCUAACUCUGUGCCAGCAGCCGCGGUAAUACAGAGGGUGCAAGCGUUAAUCGGAUUUACUGGGCGUAAAGCGCGCGUAGGUGGCCAAUUAAGUCAAAUGUGAAAUCCCCGAGCUUAACUUGGGAAUUGCAUUCGAUACUGGUUGGCUAGAGUAUGGGAGAGGAUGGUAGAAUUCCAGGUGUAGCGGUGAAAUGCGUAGAGAUCUGGAGGAAUACCGAUGGCGAAGGCAGCCAUCUGGCCUAAUACUGACACUGAGGUGCGAAAGCAUGGGGAGCAAACAGGAUUAGAUACCCUGGUAGUCCAUGCCGUAAACGAUGUCUACUAGCCGUUGGGGCCUUUGAGGCUUUAGUGGCGCAGCUAACGCGAUAAGUAGACCGCCUGGGGAGUACGGUCGCAAGA
rnacentral:rRNA from 1 species